UACGGAGGGUGCGAGCGUUGUCCGGAAUCAUUGGGCGUAACGGGCGCGUAGGUGGCCCGGUGAGUCUUUGGUGAAAGCGCGGGGCUCAACCCUGCGUCGGCCAGGGAUACUGCCGCGGCUCGAGCACUGUAGAGGCAGGCGGAAUUCCGGGUGUAGCGGUGGAAUGCGUAGAGAUCCGGAAGAACACCGGUGGCGAAGGCGGCCUGCUGGGCAGUGGCUGACGCUGAGGCGCGACAGCGUGGGGAGCAAACAGG
rnacentral:rRNA from 1 species